AAAGAUUCUUCGGAUGAUUUCCUAUUUGACUGAGCGGCGGACGGGUGAGUAACGCGUGGGUAACCUGCCUCAUACAGGGGGAUAACAGUUAGAAAUGACUGCUAAUACCGCAUAAGCGCACAGUACCGCAUGGCUCAGUGGGAAAAACUCCGGUGGUAUGAGAUGGACCCGCGUCUGAUUAGCUGGUUGGUGAGGUAACGGCCCACCAAGGCGACGAUCAGUAGCCGGCCUGAGAGGGUGAACGGCCACAUUGGGACUGAGACACGGCCCAAACUCC
rnacentral:rRNA from 1 species